rnacentral:rRNA from 1 species
UUAGCCGUAACAUUGAUAGAAUAUCACAUAAAUCUAUCCGCCUGGGUACUACGGGCAUUAGCCUAAAACCCAAAGGACUUGGCGGUUCUUUAGAUCCACCUAGAGGAGCCUGUUCUGUAACCGAUACUCCCCGUUAAACCUCACCCUCUCUUGUUUUUCCCGCCUAUAUACCGCCGUCGUAAGCUUACCCUGUGAAGGAAAUAUAUAGUAAGCAAAAUCGGCACUGCCCAGAACGUCAGGUCGAGGUGUCGCGCAUGAGAGGGGAAGAAAUGGGCUACAUUCCCUAAUAUUAGUGAACACGAAUGAUUGUAAUGAAAACGUACAUCUGAAGGAGGAUUUAGCAGUAAGAGGAAAAUAGAGUGUUCCUCUGAAGCCGGCUCUGAAGUGCGCACAUACCGCCCGUCACUCUCCCCAAGCUCACAAGUUACACAUAACUAAAAUGCUAUUAAUUACGCGAAGGGGAGGCAAGUCGUAACAUGGUAAGUGUAC